GACAGAGGGUGCAAACGUUGCUCGGAUUUACUGGGCGUAAAGCGCAUGUAGGCUGGAAUCUAAGUCGGGUGUGAAAUCCCUGGGCUCAACCUAGGAACUGCAUCCGAAACUGGACCCCUGGAGUGGUGGAGAGGAAAGCGGAAUUCCGGGUGUAGAGGUGAAAUUCGUAGAUAUCCGGAGGAACACCAGUGGCGAAGGCGGCUUUCUGGACACCAACUGACGCUGAGAUGCGAAAGCGUGGGGAGCAAACAGG
rnacentral:rRNA from 1 species